GAUGAACGCUGGCGGCGUGCUUAACACAUGCAAGUCGAACGGUGAAGGCGGAGCUUGCUCUGCUGGAUCAGUGGCGAACGGGUGAGUAACACGUGAGCAAUCUGCCCCUGACUCUGGGAUAAGCGCUGGAAACGGCGUCUAAUACUGGAUACGAGCUGCGAAGGCAUCUUCAGCAGCUGGAAAGAAUUUCGGUCAGGGAUGAGCUCGCGGCCUAUCAGCUUGUUGGUGAGGUAAUGGCUCACCAAGGCGUCGACGGGUAGCCGGCCUGAGAGGGUGACCGGCCACACUGGGACUGAGACACGGCCCAGACUCCUACGGGAGGCAGCAGUGGGGAAUAUUGCACAAUGGGCGAAAGCCUGAUGCAGCAACGCCGCGUGAGGGACGACGGCCUUCGGGCUGUAAACCUCUUUUAGCAGGGAAGAAGCGAAAGUGACGGUACCUGCAGAAAAAGCGCCGGCUAACUGCGUG
rnacentral:rRNA from 1 species